UACGUAGGUGGCGAGCGUUGUCCGGAUUUAUUGGGUUUAAAGGGUGCGUAGGCGGGACAGUAAGUCAGCGGUGAAAUCCUAUCGCUUAACGAUAGAAUUGCCAUUGAUACUGCUGACCUUGAGUACAAAUGAUGUGGGCGGAAUGUGCAGUGUAGCGGUGAAAUGCUUAGAUAUUGCACAGAACACCGAUAGCGAAGGCAGCUCACAAAAAUGUAACUGACGCUGAUGCACGAAAGUAUGGGGAUCAAACAGG
rnacentral:rRNA from 1 species